AAGUCGUAACAAGGUCUCCGUAGGUGAACCUGCGGAGGGAUCAUUACAGAGUUCAUGCCCUUUAGGGUAGAUCUCCCACCCUUUGUUAUUAAUCUAUGUUGCUUUGGCGAGCCGCGUCGUACGGCUUCGGCCCGCGGAGCGUUUGCCAGAAGAUCUCAAACUCGGAAUAUAAUGUCGUCUAAGUACUAUAUAAUAGUUAAAACUUUCAACAACGGAUCUCUUGGUUCUG
rnacentral:misc_RNA from 1 species